UACAGAGGGUGCAAGCGUUAAUCGGAAUUACUGGGCGUAAAGCGCGCGUAGGUGGUUUGUUAAGUUGGAUGUGAAAUCCCCGGGCUCAACCUGGGAACUGCAUUCAAAACUGACAAGCUAGAGUAUGGUAGAGGGUGGUGGAAUUUCCUGUGUAGCGGUGAAAUGCGUAGAUAUAGGAAGGAACACCAGUGGCGAAGGCGACCACCUGGACUGAUACUGACCGCUGAGGUGCGAAAGCGUGGGGAGCAAACAGG
rnacentral:rRNA from 1 species